GCCGGCUUAGCUCAGUUGGUAGAGCAUCUGACUUUUAAUCAGAGGGUCGCUGGUUCGAACCCAGCACGGCU
rnacentral:tRNA from 1 species